GGUAGACUUUCGUGCAUGGUUGUAAACAUUGCAGCGAUUUUUGUAGUUUUGACAUUUCCUUUGUAAGCUAUAAAUUACGUUUUUAUGUUUUGAAUAUUGAUCGGCUAUAUAUAUCAGAUGUUUUUACGAUAGAGAUUUAAUUUAGCUACAGUGGUCGAAAUCAAUUCCCAGAAGACUACCGUAUACUACACAUAAAUUAGUAGUCGGUACUUUUUAAGGACAGCUGCUUGAAGUGCGAGAUCUCGUUACGUAAACUACAAAACUACUGUGAUAAGUAAAGUACUGAUGACUAGCGUUGAUUAUCUUCUCAGAUAUCUCUCAAUUGAAAUUUGACCUUGAAUUUACCAUAUGAGGACUGCUUCUGAAUUUUUAUAAUGUCCGAAUAAAUGACGACUGUUCCCAACAGAUAUAUGGAAACCUCCAAACAUUUCCGAGGUCGACGGCGAAUCCAACGACACUGAGAAGAAAAUCAAUCUUCCGGGACCAUUUCUCUCGACUUGUCCUUUGAACCUGACCUUUUUUUGAAGCUCACAUGGCCUUCUAUCCCGCACAACUAAGCAAGCUCUUAGGAGGAACGUUGAUUCGGACUCGACAAUAGGGUCUAAUUCUAGUGAUUUCCCAAUAAACCAUUAUUGGAGACAAACAUGUGAAUCGUUAAAUUUUCAGAAAUCGGAGACGGGAGAAGUUGUUAGAAAUUUAUUACAUUCAAUUCCCCACCUAAAUUUUGCUAUUUUUGUAUUUUAUUUGCGUUAAAAGUAUUGCUCGAAUCUGAAUCGCAUCCACUCUUUUCUGUGUUAGUUUGAUUUUUUUUUUUGGUGGGUGAGCACGUACUUGUACGUUUUUAACUGUAUUUCAAGUUCAAGCCUUCAAGCUAGCCUUCCAGGUAUCUCUGCAUUUUGUUUGUCUGUUCACUUUUUGCGUUGGUUAUGUCAGAGAACCGAAAUAAAUUGAUUGA